rnacentral:rRNA from 1 species
AUUGAACGCUGGCGGAAUGCUUUACACAUGCAAGUCGAACGGCAGCACGGGGGCGAACCCUGGUGGCGAGUGGCGAACGGGUGAGUAAUACAUCGGAACGUGCCCAGUCGUGGGGGAGUAACUACGCGAAAGCGUAGCUAAUACCGCAUACGAUCUACGGAUGAAAGCGGGGAGUCGCAAGACCUCGCGCGAUUGGAGCGGCCGAUGGCAGAUUAGGUAGUUGGUGAGGUAAAGGCUCACCAAGCCUUCGAUCUGUAGCUGGUCUGAGAGGACGACCAGCCACACUGGGAC